UCCCUGAGUACAGUGGCGCACGGGUGAGUAACACGUGAAUCAUCUACCUUCGAGUGGGGAAUAACUGAGAGAAAUCUUAGCUAAUACCGCAUAAUACCUACGGGUCAAAGCAGCAAUGCGCUUGAAGAGGAGUUCGCGGCAGAUUAGUUAGUUGGCGGGGUAAUGGCCCACCAAGACGAUGAUCUGUAUCCGGCCUGAGAGGGCGCACGGACACACUGGAACUGAAACACGGUCCAGACUCCUACGGGAGGCAGCAGUGGGGAAUUUUGCGCAAUGGGGGAAACCCUGACGCAGCAACGCCGCGUGGAGGAUGAAAUCCCUUGGGAUGUAAACUCCUUUCGAUCGGGAAGAUAAUGACGGUACCGAGAGAAGAAGCCCCGGCUAACUUCGUGCCAGCAGCCGCGGUAAUACGAGGGGGGCAGGCGUUGUUCGGAAUUAUUGGGCGUAAAGGGUGCGUAGGCGGUUUGAUAAGUCACAUGUGAAAUCUUCGGGCUCAACCCGAAGUCUGCAUGCGAAACUGUCGGGCUUGAGUAUGGGAGAGGUGAGUGGAAUUUCCGGUGUAGCGGUGAAAUGCGUAGAUAUCGGAAGGAACACCUGUGGCGAAAGCGGCUCACUGGACCAUAACUGACGCUGAUGCACGAAAGCUAGGGGAGCAAACAGGAUUAGAUACCCUGGUAGUCCUAGCCCUAAACGAUGAUUGCUUGAUGUGGUGGGUACCCAAUCCC
rnacentral:rRNA from 1 species